CAAGGAAUUUUCCGCAAUGGGCGCAAGCCUGACGGAGCAACGCCGCGUGGGGGAAGAAGGCUUUCGAGUUGUAAACCCCUUUUGCGAGGGAAGAAGAUCUGACGGUACCUCGCGAAUAAGCCACGGCUAACUACGUGCCAGCAGCCGCGGUAAUACGUAGGUGGCAAGCGUUGUCCGGAUUCACUGGGCGUAAAGCGCGCGCAGGCGGGCUGAUAAGUCCCGGGUUAAAUUCCACGGCUCAACCGUGGGCGGCCCCGGGAUACUGUCAGUCUUGAGGCAUUCAGAGGAGAGUGGAAUUCCCGGUGUAGUGGUGGAAUGCGUAGAUAUCGGGAGGAACACCAGUGGCGAAAGCGGCUCUCUGGGGAUGUCCUGACGCUGAGGCGCGAAAGCGUGGGGAGCGAACCGGAUUAGAUACCCCCGUAGUCC
rnacentral:rRNA from 1 species